rnacentral:rRNA from 1 species
AUACGUAGGUGGCAAGCGUUGUCCGGAAUUAUUGGGCGUAAAGCGCAUAUAGGCGGUGCCUUAAGGCUGUCGUGAAACUUCGGGGCCUAACCCCCUAUGGCGAUGGAAACUGGGGCACUUGAGUGCAGGAGAGGAAAGGGGAACUCCCAGUGUAGCGGUGAAAUGCGUAGAUAUUGGGAAGAACACCGGUGGCGAAGGCGCCUUUCUGGACUGUGUCUGACGCUGAGAUGCGAAAGCCAGGGUAGCGAACGGGAUUAGAUACCCCGGUAGUCCUGGCCGUAAACGAUGGGUACUAGGUGUGGGAGGUAUCGACCCCUUCCGUGCCGGAGUUAACGCAAUAAGUACCCCGCCUGGGGAGUACGGCCGCAAGGCUUAAACUCAAAGGAAUUGACGGGG